GCUACACUGUCAAUUUACUGGGUGAACAGUUUCCUUUAUAACCCCAAGCAUCAGGCUUUUCUACCUAUAAAAACAGAAAUAAAACCAGGCAAGUUGAUGCAAGCAUUUGCUACAGAAAAGGAGGGCUAGGAUUAAAGGCAUGCACCACCGGGAUUAAAGGUGAGUGUCGUUGUGGCUACUGGGAUUAAAGCCACAGGUUACACUGCCCUGCAGCGUUCAGUGAGAAACAUACUGACUAGCCGACGGACCUACAGGCCAAGCCAGUGGGGACGCCAUCUGAGCAUUUACUUACUGCUUGGCUCCCGGAGCUGCCUGCCUGGAUGUUACGGCUUUCAGAGAGCUCUGUGAGUUCUGGAAGGCUAUUAGGCUAAACCCCCCCAUGAGCCCACCAUCAGGUGCACAAGCAGAAUCCCACCAGCACUCAAGACUCUGACUUUGCACCCUUCUGGUCUCCGCCAUCCCAGGGCAGCUGCUCUCCUGUGGACUGACUCUGCCAGAUGUUGGACUAGGAGUGGGAUAGCACAGCCUGUGAAGUGCUUCCUAUUCAACAAUACUUUGAUGAGCUCCCUCACGGCUGUGUGCAGUGGGAAGUUCCUCUCUUCCAUCUGCUGGUGUAUUGGAUCAGACUGUAUGCAUACUGUACCACAAUGUAACCAUGUUGGUGGUGGGGGAUAUGAGUGGCUAGUUUGGAGUUUAAAUCCAAACUAGUUCUUUUUCUUAAAUACAUUAAGUUUGUUUCCAUUUAAAAAUAUUUUUUAAGUUAACAUUCAAAGUGAUGGGUUUCAUUGUGACAUCUUCAUACAAAUGUGUCAUUAUACUUGGUUCUAAUCCCUUCCCCACCCCCACUACACUGUCUCCUCUGUCACACUCUAUACUGACCCUAUUGUCAUGCUCCCUUCUGCUUUUGUACCACCUGUAUUCCAUUGUGCCCUCUUCCCCGCAUGUGCCCCUCCUUUAAUAUUUCUUUCUCAUGGUCUCCUUUCUACUUUCAUCACAAACACACACAGGCUUGAGUGCACACACACAUGAGCAAGUACACACAUGUGAAAGAGUACACAUACAGGCACUAGCACACAUGCACAAGGAUACACACCUGUACAUGAGUACACACACACAUGAUCACAUACAUUAAAAACAUGCUGUAUUUGUCUUAAUGAGUCUGGCUUUUUACAGUUAACUUCUCUUUUAAGAAUAUGGUCAUGUUUUCUGGAAAGAGGAGUAAUUUGACUUCCCAUUUGUAACCCUUUUAUUUCUUUUUCUGUCUUGCUGAUAUUUGAAUGGUUUGAUGAAUAAGGAUGGAGAAAGUGGGUGCCCCCGUCUUAUUUCUGGUUUUAGAGGGCGUGUGUUCAUUUUCCAUGGUUUUAUCUAAUGGUUACAUGAACUAUACAUAGAGAUUUGCCUUAUGCGGCCUUCAUUGUCUUGAGGUGUGUUCCUUCUGUCCCUAGUGCCUUCUGAGAUUUACUAGAAAGGGAAAUUGAACGUUGUGAAGGUCUUCUCUGUGUCAGUAGCACUGGCCACAGGAUUCUGUUGCUGAUCUAUUUGUGCUGUGCUUCUGUGUCUUUGGACGUGUGCGCAUUUCUAGUGGCUGUUUUGUGAAGAAGAGAAUUGCUGUGUCCGCAGGCUGUCACAGACAGUGCAGUUUCCAGAAUGUUCUGAUUAGUGUUCCCAGUCUAAGUUUUCCAUUAGGUCCUCAUAAUCACCAACACUUGGUAAUUCUGUCCCGUUACUUUAUUCAUUUUGCAAAUCUCUCUUUUUUACAUUUAUGUUGAUUUUCCCUUGAUCGUAUCAGCUUUGGCUUAAUAGCCCACUAUUUAUUUGUGCAAAUAAAUAUACACACGUGUACUCUUCUGUCACACCAGAGGCAAUCCUAUCUAUCUAGUCCUCUGUCUUGCACAUUGUUUUUUUUUUUAAAUUUCAACAAUGUGUCCAGUGAUUUCUGUGUAAUUCAAUGUCUUUUUUAUAGCUACAUAGUAUCUGGCUGCAUGAAUAUAGUUUAAUUUUUCUACCAUUCUCUUAUCAGUGGGCACUUACAUUAUUUCCCCACAUUUCCGAUUAUAAAUAUGCCAUAACCAAUGGGAUUAUUCACAAGACUUUUCACAGUUUUGCUACUGUGUCUUUGCAUUGUAUUCUUAGAACUGGUGCUGCCAGGCCCACGAUGGAUGCAUUUGUAAUUUAGCUGUGCAUUGACAGAUUUCCAUGUUCUUCCAUGGAGAUUGUUCAUUUUGUAUUUCUACAAGCGCUCUGUGAGACAUGCACUUAUAUAACUCUUGCAAUACAUUUUUUAGAAUAUAUAUAGCCAGGGAGUUAAAACAGUGGUACUUUUUUUUUAAAUGAAGAAUCUUCAAAAGUUAAGUAUUUGAUUUUUAUCAUAUAACUUAAUAUACUACUUUAAUAUUCCUUAUGUAUAUAUUUUUGAGUUUAAAAUAUAAUAAAUAUUCAUGGUUUUUAAAUCUUUUGGUUGUGAAGUUAUGGAAAAAGUAAAGAAUUCGUAGAGUCAUGUAACUGGGAAAUCAGAGGCAAAGACAGCCUGUUAUUUUCAGGUACAGUAGGAUCCAGGCUUGGUCUUCCGGUCCUCCCUCCCUUCCUUCUUCCUUUCCUCCCUCCCUCCUUUCCUCCCUCCUUUUUUCCUUCCCUCCGUCCUUCCCAGGGGACUGAGCUUAGUGCUUCCCCUAUGCUAGGCAAAUGUUCUCCCAUGGGCUAUAGCCCGACCUCAGUAUGGUUUCUAUACUGGCAGGCUUAGUCCCUGGUUUUCAUUGCCUUUGCAACCUCCAACACCAGCAGGCAGGAGGGUGGCCUUUGUCCUGAAUAUGCAGGUAUCUCCUCAAAUGACUCUGGCCCUUACUUUGGGUCAGCCCCCAAUGCAUGUUUGUUUAACUGAGAACUCUCCUGUUUGGUCACUGCAAUCAGUUAAGUCCCUCGUGGAGAGUGUUUCCAGGUUUUACUGCACACUGACAGGAUUAUUAAUAUUAUUAUGUUGCUGUUACACAUCUUUUAUAUUCUACACUUUUAUGUACUUACUAUAUGUUUCUACAUGUAGGAUUACGAGGUGAACGAAUAUGAACAUUUUAUAGAUAGGAUAUGAUGGAGGAAGGUCAUUGGUUAAGUAAUAAAGAAACUGCUUGGCCUCAUAGGUUAAAACAUAGGUGGGAGGAGUAAACAGAACAGAAUGCUGGGAGGAAGAGGAAGUGAGCUCAGAGGCCAUGCUCCCCUCUCCCGGGUAGACGCCAUGAAGCAAGCUGCCAGGUCAGACAUGCUGAAUCUUUCCCGGUAAGACUGAUGCUACACAGAUUAUUAGAGGUGGGUUGAUUGGGAUAUGAGAAUUAGCCUGUAAGGGCUAGAGUUAAUGGGCCAAGCAGUGUUUUUUUUUUAAUUUUUUUUCAAACUUUUUUUAAUUUUAUGUAUGAGUACUCCCCAUGUACACCUGCGUGUCAGAAGAGGGCAUCAGAUCCCGUUGUAGAUGGUCAUGAGCCACCAUGUGGGUGCUGGGAAUUGAACUCAGGACCUCUGGAAGAGCAGCCAGUGCUCUUAACCGCUGAGCCAUCUCUCCAGUCCCUCCAAGCAGUGUUUAAAAGAAUACAGUGUCCGUGUAAUUAUUUCUGGGCAUAAGCUAGCAGGCGACCGGAGUGCUGGGGACGCAGCCCCGCCACUCCUACUACUACAAGGGUAAAAGUCUACCCAGUGUAUUUUGAAUGACAUACAGUCUCAGUAGCCCUUGUCAACACUGUUGUUCUACCAUACCACAGGGAGUAUUAUGAAUUUUAAUUUUACAAGGGUUAUCACAUUCUUUCAUGCUUACUUUACAUCAAAGAAUAUCUGUUCUGUUUAUAGUAGACAUUCAACAUACAGUAUAACUCUUGAUUAACAUGUCAUAUUUUCCUAUAUUCUUUUUCUGAAUGUCUACACUCUCUCCUUCAGGUUUAGAAAGGAAAAAAAAACUGUGAAAUUAAAUAAGAAUGCUGAGGGCAAAGACGUCAAGUCUUUUUGUUUCCUCACGUAUGCUUAGGUUUUAUCGAGUACCCUGAGUAGGUAGUGGGGCGUCAAGAAGUGGCGUGAAGUAUGUUAGGCUGACCAUCAUUUCUUCAGUUAUUCUAUUAUGGCUUCUCCAAGUAGACACAAAAUUCACAGUGUGCUUCCUAGGUUAGCUGGCAAGGCAGAUACCCAUGUGCUUUUCCCAAUCAGACUGUAAGUCCUGGGUGCAUUAUUCAGAGUUUCUGGAAAUGCCCCCACUGUGUCCCUAUGGUGGUUCUCAUCCAAGAUGACCUGGAGCUGGUUGGAAAUUCAAGUUCUCAGGUCCAAUUUCAGAUGUACUGCAGCAGGACCUCUGGACACAGGACCUUGCAAUACAUGUGUGUGUCUGUUUCAUGGUAGCAAAAUAUGCAAAGCAUAAAAUUUACCAUCACAGUCACUCUCAAGUCUGUAAUUCACCUUGGGAAACCUUCCUUUACAAUUCUUUGCCUCUGGAAGCACUAAAGUCCUGCAGACAUCUCCAUGUUCUCUACUUCCUUGAGCCCUGGCAACCAUCACUCUCUUUCCUGUCUCUGUGGACUGACUGCUCCAAGUGCUUCUCAGAAGUGGGAUCAUGAAACAUCUCCCUCUUUUCCAUUGUCUUGUUUCCCUCAGCAUCAUGUCCUCAAAAUGAAUCCAUGUCGUAGCAUAUAUCAGUAGUACCAAAAUUCCCUUGUAUAGGUAUACCAUAUUCAGUUUAUUCUGCCCUCCCAGGAAUGGGGGACACCAGACUGCCUCCCCUGGCAGUUUGCAUUUCCUCACGCCUACUAGGUGAUUCAUUUCAAUGUUUAAAUUUCAAAAUUUCUGGGUACAAGGAAUGAAGUGUGGUAACUGAUUGUCAUCUGGGCAAGUCUGGCAUUGUUUUUAGAAUGUUUUGAGCUGUACUUGACACAGCAAGUUAUUUUGUGUAACUGGUGGGUUUGUGUGUCAGCUUGACACAAACAGGAGUCAUCAGAGGAAGGAGCCUCAGCUGAGGAAAUGCCUCCAUGAGAUCCAGCUUUAAGAUCUUGUUUUCAUUUAGUGACCAGUGGGAGAGGGCCCAACCCAUGGCGGGUGGUCCCAUCCCUGGACUGUUGAUCCUGGGUUGUAUAAGAAGGUGGGCUGAGCAAGCCAAGGGAAGCAAGCCAGUAAGCAGCACACCUCCAUGACCUCUGCAUCAGCUCCGGCCUCCAGGUUCCUGCCCUGCCUGAGUUCCUGUCCUGACUUCCUUCAGUGAUGAACAGCAAUGUUAAAGUGUAAGCCUAAUAAGCUCUUUCCUCCCCAAUUUGCUUUUUGGUCAUCGUAUUUUGUCAGAGCAAUAGAAACCUUACCUAAGACACUCUGCAUGCUUCAUAGGAGGGCAGAACACCUCAGCUUCCGGGGAUCCCACAAGGAUGCAGAGUGGAGUCCUACAGUGCCAGGUCUAAGAUCUUUAGUCACGUCUGAAAGAAAAAUUGUUCAACUAAGCAGGACUCUGAAUGUUGAUAAACCGCCCUUCACUGAGACACUGGCUAAUCUGAUCUUUGAAAUUGGAAUUCCUUUAAAACCGUCUAAGUCAAAAGAUGAAGAGAAUAAAAGAGAAAGUAGAGAGAGAAAAGGGCGUGUGCCUUAAAUAACGUCAAGAUAAACAGAGCAGUUUGCAUGAUGCUCACAUGGAUGCAGUGAGCUGUUGCUGGAGUUGACAGGUAGAGAGCUAUUUUGAAUGAGCUGGAUUCUCUUUCAGUUACCAGGGAACAUUUGAGGUUAUGUAAGCUGUCACAACAAGGACACUCAAAUCUCACGAAUCAGAGCACUAACUGACAGCCCGAGGUAGUCAGUCAGUUGAGGACCUGCGGUGAUCUGCAGCUUGGCAAAGUGGGCUUUGGGAUGAGGAGGUUCAUUUUUCCCAGAGUCUAAGCCACAGUGUUCUGCUGGAGGCAGAAUGCAAUAUUAGACAGGCUAAUGAUAUGAUAUGAUUUGGUACAAGGUUAUUAAUUCUAGCUAAAGAAAUGAAUGCAUAUAUUUGAUUGCAAUGCAUUUUAUUUGGAAAGAGCAAAUUAUUCAAAUGAUGAUAUUCUUGAGGCCUGGCAUGGGCAUGUAUCUAGAUACAGUAAAUCUGAGUGAAUAAAUGUCAUAACCAAUGAAUCAAUUUUGAUCCGAUUUAUUGGGUACUUAAAACAUGCAGGCUAAAGGGAGAGUUCAUAAUGACAUUUCAAUCCAAGACUUGCCAUGUAUGUGAAGGUGAUUAUAUAAGAUUGUAAUGGAGUUGAACAUGCCUGUUUCUAAUGACAUCAUAACAGUUACAAUGUCCUAGCACAACAUGUGACUCACACACGCUUGUGGUGAUGCCACAUGGGCCAAGCCCACUUUACUUUUUGCAUACAUGUUGCAUACAUGUAUAGCACACACAAUUGCAUGCAGUAUACAACGCUUGGUAAGGAUCACGAAUGGUUAUGCUACUGCUUUCUUUAGUACAGUCUACCAUACAAACCAUCAUGCUAGCGUGCUCUUCCUCUUGUGGAAACUGUUCACUGCUAACAGCGACCUGCUUGUCUGCUGCCGCCUCACCCACCUCAUAUCCCCUGCCUCUCUUCCUGGCAGCAUUCGCUUCAGGGCUUCAUCUAAUUUUCUGCUGUUUGGAUGGCCAUGGCACCAGGAGCGGGAGGCGGUAUCACAGCAGCUAGGCAUGGAGCAGCCCGUGCCACCCAGGUGUCUGCACAUUUGCUUUACAGUGUUCACACCACGAGAUCCCCUAACAGCGGGUGUUCCUGUAGUUACAUGAUCCAGGACUACAAAUAGGUCACCAGACUCUCCAGAGUGUGAAUACAUACACGGGCAAUGUGCUUUCAUUGACGCAGCUCCUCUUGCUCUCACAGAACGAGCACACGACCUCGGACAACUUCUUAACCUCCCUAGUUAAAGCUUCCCAAUGUUUGCAGCUGGGUGGAUGCGAGACCCCAAGUUAAACAGCCCUACAGCUUUCUGCUUCUGCUUCUUAUGUUUUAUUUUCAUUUUUGGGGGGGAGGGUAGAAUUUUCAUCUACUAAUUCACUUCGCAAUGUGUGAGAGAGCAUGUAAGGCGCUGUGCUAUAAUUCUCCCCAUAACUUAUUAAUCACUUUCCUUUCUCAUCACUAUAAAACGGCUCUGCUAAAUGUCAGGGACAACAACAAAAAUCUCCAUAAACGGAUCACCAUAAAACUCAUCCCAGAAUAGCAAGCACUCUGCUUCCUGGCACAGCUCCCACCAGAGGUUAGCAUCUCUCCUACCUUCCUGGUUCCCAAGGCCCAAGAGAUGGGAGUCUAACAUAUGGCCCGGGUGCUACCCCACCCCUGUGCCCUUCACGGUCUCCUGACCUCAGCUUCAUAGAGAAGCUUCUAAAAGCCUGGCGACCAAUCAGCAAUACCAUGCAAAAGUUUUUGCUUUAAAAAAGCCAUUUCAGAGGCAUUUGGUUAUUUAAAGAUUUGAGGCUUCAAAAACACAUCCGUCCCAUGUGACAGAGACAUGGGACUAGCAGAUGUUGCCUGGUUUUUAUUUUACCUUGGGAUUUCAUGGUAUCCGUUUUUCAAUUUCUAGCUAAGUAUUAAAUGCUUGUAGGAUUUAAGUGGCUUGUUUAAUUAAGCUUUAAAAAAUGUAUUUAAACUUUAGAUCGGCCUAGAUAAUUCAAAAAUAGAAACAAGUGUGGCAAGUCUGCCAGGUCAGGCUUGAACUCGAGUGCACUCCAUCCUAAAUGACUUGAGCCACGGGAAGUACAGUUCUGGGGGUCUCCGAGUAAGCAGUUUCAAAUUCUUGACUUUUUCAGGGCUAUUUUUACAUAAGCAAGGCUAUUAUGCUCUCUUUCUGGCUCCCAUCACUUAAAAAAUAGCCCUUUUCAGGUCUGAAGUUGGGGAAGGAAGAGUGCGCAAGAAUUAAAAAUGAAUACGACGUCAGCGGUGCCACACACCUGGGCCUCAUUUUUAUUGCAGCAGCGGAGCCCGGUGACAGCCACAAUAAACAGGCACUGAAGAGCUGCCUUCAAGUGCCGAGCUCGAGCAUCCCACUUCCUUCCGGUUUAGGGCUUAUUGCUCGGCCGUCUGAAAUAGAAUUGAACCCAGCAGUUUGGACUCAGCCCAAUGUGCGAAAUCGCUCCUGUACUGUUUGUGGUAUCAAGCGACGUCUCCAGAUUAGAACUGGGGAGUUGACGGAAGCAUAGCCGCGUGACUGUCUCCAUCAUUGGUCUUCUACUGAGAUGCUGAGAGUCAUAUUUAUGAGAGCAGACGGGCUGACUUCGCAAAGUGCAGCAAUUCCUUUUUAAUGAACAUGUGUUCUAAACAACGUCUUUUCUCCUGUGUGGGGGCAGUAAUUCCAUAGUUUAUAUAAUAAAGCUAACUGUAUCCGACAUCCGGGAUGUGUUCUGGUGAUGUAGUCCUUCCCUGUAAAGCCCACCUAGAUGCGUUCUUUCUGCCGUUAUUACCUUUUGGGAAGAAGCAGGCUGUGAAAGUCGGGACCUGGUU